GAUGAACGCUGGCGGCGUGCCUAAUACAUGCCAGUCGAGCGAACGGACGAGAAGCUUGCUUCUCUGAUGUUAGCGGCGGACGGGUGAGUAACACGUGGAUAACCUACCUAUAAGACUGGGAUAACUUCGGGAAACCGGAGCUAAUACCGGAUAAUAUUUUGAACCGCAUGGUUCAAAAGUGAAAGACGGUCUUGCUGUCACUUAUAGAUGGAUCCGCGCUGCAUUAGCUAGUUGGUAAGGUAACGGCUUACCAAGGCAACGAUGCAUAGCCGACCUGAGAGGGUGAUCAGCCAAACUGGAACGGAGACACGGUCCAGACUCCUACGGGAAGCAGCAGUAGGGAAUCUUCCGCAAUGGGCGAAAGCCUGACGGAGCAACGCCGCGUGAGUGAUGAAGGUCUUCGGAUCGUAAAACUCUGUUAUUAGGGAAGAACAUAUGUGUAAGUAACUGUGCACAUCUUGACGGUACCUAAUCAGAAAGCCACGGCUAACUACGUG
rnacentral:rRNA from 1 species